rnacentral:rRNA from 1 species
UACGAAGGGGGCUAGCGUUGCUCGGAAUCACUGGGCGUAAAGCGCACGUAGGCGGCUUACUAAGUCAGGGGUGAAAUCCUGGAGCUCAACUCCAGAACUGCCUUUGAUACUGGUGAGCUUGAGUCCGGAAGAGGUGAGUGGAACUGCGAGUGUAGAGGUGAAAUUCGUAGAUAUUCGCAAGAACACCAGUGGCGAAGGCGGCUCACUGGUCCGUACUGACGCUGAGGUGCGAAAGCGUGGGAGCA